rnacentral:rRNA from 1 species
CCUACGGGAGGCAGCAGUGAGGGAUAUUGGACAAUGGGGGAAACCCUGAACCAGCAACGCCGCGUGAGGGAAGACGUAUUUCGGAAUGUAAACCUCUGUCAUCAGGGAAGAUAAUGACGGUAGCUGAGGAAGAAGCCCCGGCUAACUACGUGCCAGCAGCCGCGGUAAUACGUAGGGGGCAAGCGUUAUCCGGAUUUACUGGGUGUAAAGGGUGCGUAGGCGGCUCUGCAAGUCUGAUGUGAAAGGCAGGGGCCUAACCCAGGGACUGCUUUUGAAACUGCAGAACUUGAGUGGAGUAGAGGUAGGCGGAAUUCCUGGUGUAGCGGUGAAAUGCGUAGAGAUCGGGAGGAACACCAGUGGCGAAGGCGGCCUACUGGGCUCUAACUGACGUUGAGGCACGAAAGCGUGGGUAGCAAACAGGAUUAGAUACCCGUGUAGUC